rnacentral:rRNA from 1 species
GACGAACGCUGGCGGCGUGCUUAACACAUGCAAGUCGAGCGGUAAGGCCCUUUCGGGGGUACACGAGCGGCGAACGGGUGAGUAACACGUGGGUGACCUGCCCUCAGCUCUGGGAUAAGCCUGGGAAACCGGGUCUAAUACUGGAUAUGACUCCAUGACGCAUGUUGUGGGGUGGAAAGCCUUGUGCGGCUGAGGAUGGGCCCGCGGCCUAUCAGCUUGUUGGUGGGGUGANGGCCCACCAAGGCGACGACGGGUAGCCGGCCUGAGAGGGCGACCGGCCACACUGGGACUGAGACACGGCCCAGACUCCUACGGGAGGCAGCAGUGGGGAAUCUUGCGCAAUGGGCGAAAGCCUGACGCAGCGACGCCGCGUGAGGGAUGACGGCCU